UGAGGAACAUGACUUUCGGCGGGGGAUAGCCGGCCCAACGGCCGGGUAAUACCGCGUACGACCCUUUGGGGACAUCCCCGAUUGGUGAAAGCAGCAAUGCGCCGAAAGAGUGCCUCGCGGCCUAUCAGCUAGUUGGUGUGGGUAAUGGCCCACCAAGGCGACGACGGGUAGCCGGCCUGAGAGGGUGACCGGCCACACUGGGACUGAGACACGGCCCAGACUCCUACGGGAGGCAG
rnacentral:rRNA from 1 species